UAUUUCGUAGUUAUGGUAGGAUCUUGUGAAGAGUUUAGGGUCAAAGCUUAGAUGACUGUUGUACAGAGGGCUAGAGGAGUGAGGGGGGGGGGAGAGGGAGGUGGAGCUUUGGAAUGGAUACUGAAGGGAAGGCCUGGAAUGUAGUCAGUAGGCUGAAUUGGUAUUUAAGAAAAACGGGAAAAAAUCUGAAAAACCUAUUUUUAUUUAAAUAUAAACAACACACAAGGCUCUAAUGACCUUUGUGAUGGAGGUUUUUAAAGAAUGACUUGUAAAUGUAGACCUGUGUUUUGGAUGGAGUAUCAAGACAUUGACUUAGAGUUAGAUGAAGAGCUUUGAAUGUUGAUGUAAGCACUUAAGGAUAAAAGGUUAGGUAAAUCUUUUCAAUGGAGCUCAUACAUUUGAUGUCUAUUCGAAAUUAUUGAGUCAUUAUAUUUUACAUAGAAAUGGCUACUUGCUUCAAACAGCACUUUUUCUGAGAGUUUGCAGUGAGUCAAGAACAGGUCGGUCUGCCUCUAAGUCUAAAAUAAAUAGUGAAGUCUGAAACUACUGUCAAGUAAUCAUAAAUGGUCACAGGGAAGGAUUUACUGAGUGUUGCAAAGCUAGGAGUGUACACCCAUCAUAGCCUUGGUUAGAGAAGGUGCAAGAGGACCACCAGCCAAUAAAAAAAUUUUCUUCAAGAAAAUGUCACAUGGGAAUUAUCAAUUAUCCAAUACAAAGGAAAUCAUUUGUAUCAAUCAAUGGUGACAUAGCUAGACAGAGAGCCAGGCCCACUGGCAAAAUUCUUUGGACCACUAAAAUAUAUUGUUUUAUUAACAUUAAUUACAACAACGGUUGUGGCUCCCCUUUGCUUUUAUCUCCUCCUCCUUGAUAGAAAAUCCUGGCUACCACAAUGAUAUAUCACUGCUGUUAAAUACUAUAGAUGAAGGAAUGACUAAGAUAAACUGCAAAAAUGACUUCAUCUUACUAAGUUCUGACUUUGCAGGCUGCUGUCGAGACUGCUGAGUAGCUCGAGAUGUCUGUCUGACAUUGUGCAUUUAUAAAACUGAAGCUUGUGUAUUUAGUUUCUUUUCCUUCCUUAUAACCCUACUUAUAAGAAUUCUAUAACUUUUUCACUACUUAUAACCGAUAUUUUCUGCGCCAACCUCAAAUAUUUUCUGAGACAUGAUCUUCAUCUCCAAACUAAAACCUUCACUUAACACCCAAGGCAGCUCCAUCCCUCUUAAGCUUUUCUAGUCGCAACACCUCAACCUAACCAUACAUCACAUCACACUUACACAUCCACAGUAGUCUGAUACCUCUAACUAUGUAAAUAACUAUAUAUAUACCUACAAAUCGUUGUUAACUUCUAUAUUUAUCUGAAGAUGUCUUGAGUCAAGACGAAACGUCACUAUUUUAAUAAAUUUCACAAAACCAAA